ACCCACCCACCUGUCGCUGCCUCGUGCCCUCCACCCCUCCCUCCCUCCCUCUCCUUCCUUCCCUUACCUCGCCUCACCUUCCGCCUACCUUCACCUGCCUGCCGCUGCCCCCUCAGGUGCUCGCGGCCCGGCAGGUGGUGGAAUACAGGUGUUUUAGGCCGAUAAGGAAGGUUCUGUUGGGAUUUAUUGAUGGGGUACCUGUUGAUGUGGCUGUCAGGCGUGUUGCAAGGUGUGUUUCUGGGUGCAAAGGCGUUCAUGUGUUGAGAAGAGUAGCCAGGUGUGUAGGUGAAAAAAUACAGGUGUUUUAAGCCAGAGAGGAAGGUUCUGUUGUGAUUUUUGUGUGAGGUACUUGUUGAUGUGGCUGUCAGGUGUGUUGCAAGUUGUGUUUCUGGGUGCAAAGGCGUUCAUGUGUCGAGAAGGGUAACCAGGUGUGUAGGUGAAUAAAUACAGGUGUUUUAAGCGAGAAAGGAAGGUUCUGUUGUGGUUUUUGUGUGAGGUACUUGUUGAUGGGACUGUCAGGUGUGUUGCAAGGUACUUUAGCGUUUAGGUGUUGAGAAGAGUAGCCAGGUGUAUAAGUGAAAAAUUACAGGUGUUUGAAGCCAGUAAGGAAGGUUCUGUUGUGAUUUAUACAUGAGGUUACCUGUUGAUGUGACUGUCAGGUAUGUUGCAAGGUGUGUUUCGGGUGUGGAGAAGAGUAGUCAGGUAUACAGAUAGCAAAUUACAGGUGUUCUAAGCUAGCAGGGAAGGUUUUGCUGUGAUUUAUAUAUGGCCUUACCUGUGAAUGGACUGCCAGGUGUAUUGCAAGGUGUGUAUCAGGUGUCGAGCAAGAGUAGCCAGAUGUACAGGUGGCCAAUUUACAGGUGUUUAUAGGCAGAUAUGGAAACAGCACCCAAACUCACUUGUAGAAAAAACACAUAAGCUAUUAACUGUGUUGCGUCCAGGUGUAUUUCCAGGCAUCUAGGCGGUCAGGUGUGGAGUCCAGUGACCAGGUGUGUACAGGUGCCCAGGUAACGGGGUGCCGGAGGGGGGAGGGAAGAGGGGGAAGGGGGGCAUGUCAGGUAGCUUAGGGGUGGGAGCGGGUGAUGUUGAGGUUCUUGCUGGCGGAGUUGAAGCCUCCUACCUGUCGCCGGCAUCAUUAGAGAGAGAGAGAGAGAGAGAGAGAGAGAGAGAGAGAGAGAGAGAGAGAGAGAGAGAGAGAGAGAGAGAGAGAGAGAGAGAGAGAGAGAGAGAGAGAGAGAGAGAGAGAGAGAGAGAGUAACGAAGGAAAGAAAAGGAAUGUGAGUAGAAGAAAAAAGAAAAGGAUUAUAGGAUUGCGGAGUGAUCUUUUUGUGACGAGAUUACAGCCAAAGUAAAGUAUAACAUGGCGUAGCAGAUAACAAGGUGACUUAAAUACCACAUCAAAACAUCAGGUAUCGAGGCGGAGGAAAAGAAUAUUGAUUUAAACGAUAAGAAAGUAAAUAAUGGCAGGUGUAUCAAGGUGAAAACAAUGGAACAGGUAACACAGGUGGACAGGUGGAGUCAUUAACAUACCAAAAGACAUAAUCCACAGGUAAUGAAACUAAGAGAAAAUUUAAACUAAUAGGAAACUGAAGUGUAAUGACAGGUGUAACUAAGCAAAGUGUAACAGGUAGCAAGGUGACAAAAAUAAUGAAUCAAAACACACAAUCCACAGGUAAGACUAUCAAGGUGAAACAGGUGAAACAACAACAACAAAAAAAACGAAACGAAAGUAAAAGGACAGGUAUAAAAAGGUUGAAAAAGUGUAAGAAAGUAAAGAUAAGUGUUACAGGCAGACAGGUGACAAUCAUAAUAAAUCAAAACACACACAUUCCACAGGUAACACUAUCAAGGUGAAACGACAAAAAUAACACGAAAAGAAAGUAAAAUGACAGGCGUAAAAAAGGUUAAAAAAGUGUAGGAAAGUAAAGAUAAGUGUUACAGGUAGACAGGUAACAAAAAUGAUAACUCAAAACACACAUUCCACAGGUAACACUAUCAAGGUGAAGCGACAAAAACGCAAAAGAAAGUUAAAUGACAGGUGUAAAAAGGUUAAAAAGGUGUAAGAAUGUGAAGAUAAGUGUAACAGGUAGACAGGUAACACAAAUAAUAACUCAAGACACAUUCCACAGGUAACACUAUCAAGGUGAAGCGAGAAAAACGCAAAAGAAAGUGAAAUGACAAGUGUAAAAAGGUUAAAAAAGUGUAGGAAAGUAAAGAUAAGUGUUACAGGUAGACAGGUGACAAAAAUGAUAACUCAAAACACACAAUCCGCAGGUAACACUAUCAAGGUGAAACGACAAAAACCCAAAAGAAAGUGAAAUGACAAGUGUAAAGCGAUGAAAAAAGUAACAAAGUAAGAAAGAAGUGUAACAGGUAUCCAGGUGACAUCAAUAACAACAAAACACACAAUCCCCAAGUAAAAACAUCAAAGUGAAACGAAAAAAAUACCUCGAAAAGAAAGAAAUGGCAGGUGUGAAAAGUUAAAAAAAAAAGUGUAGCAAUGUAAAAUUAAGUGUAACAGGUAUCCAGGUGACAUCAAUACUAUAUCAAAACACAUCAAAACACACAUUCCACAGGUAACAAUAUUGAGAUAAAACGUAGAAUAACAGGAAAACAGUGUAAAAUGUCAGGUGUAAAACGGUGAAGAAAGUAACAAAGCAAAAAAAAAAAAAAAACAGGUGUAACAGGUAGCCAGGUGACAUCAAUAACAGAUCCAAACACACAUUCCACAGGUAACAAUAUCGAGGCAAAAUAGAAUAAAAAAAAUAACGUAAAAUAAAUCACGACAACUAUGACAGGUAUUUAAAGCCAGGCCAAACAAAAGAACAAAUACCAGGUAACCACGUAACAUCAAGAGCAGCUAAGCACACAUUCCACAGGUAACAGUGUCAAGGGAAAAUAAUAACAAUAACACCAAAAACAAAUUAAGAUGACGUGACAGGUAUUAUAACCAGGUAAAGGAAAAAAAUAAUUACCAGGUAGCCAGGUAACACACAUCCAAACACACACUCCACUGGUAACACUAUCAAUACAAAAUGAAAAUAAAAAUAACACGAGAACAAAGAAAAGUAACGUGACAGGUGUUAUAACCAGGUAAAGGAAAAAAAUAAUUACCAGGUAGCCAGGUAACACACAUCCAAACACACACUCCACUGGUAACACUAUCAAUACAAAAUGAAAAUAAAAAUAACACGAGAACAAAGAAAAGUAACGUGACAGGUGUUAUAACCAGGUAAAGGAAAAAAAUAAUUACCAGGUGGCCAGGUAACACACAUCCAAACACACACUCCACUGGUAACACUAUCAAUACAAAAUGAAAAUAAAAAUAACACGAGAACAAAGAAAAGUAACGUGACAGGUGUUAUAACCAGGUAAAGGAAAAAAAGCACUCACCAGGUACACAGAUGACAUCAAUAUCAGAUCAAAGCACACACGCACACUCAAGGUAACAAAAAACAACACCGACAACACCGUGACACGAUUCACACCACACGUAUUAACCAGAUGACACCAAUCAGACAAAGGUGAGAGUGAUUACAGGUAUCUCAGAGCCAUGACACUCCCACACAGGUGACACACAACCUCCACCUGUACCCCGGGGCAAAGGAACUUACUAAGGCGUACCUGUGAACUCAAGGCACAGGUACAGCAAGCAACAGGUGUGAGAAUGUCAUCAGUCACAUACCUUUGAAUCAGGAGGAGGAGGGAAGGGAAGGAAGGGAGGGAGAGAGAGAGAAAGUGAAGAGGGUGAUGAAGGGAAGGCGAUUAUGUUAUGGUAAUGGGUUAGAAAAGGAAGGGAGGAGGAAGGGAUGGAAGGAAGAGUAAAG